AAUAAAGGUGUGGACUUGGCUGACGUUAAUGAUUCAACGUUCCUGGAAAAUGAAGGCUGUGCUGGGACUUUUAGUGGCUUUAGUUCUGUGUGGAGUUAUUCACGGAUCGGCAAUCCGUGCGUCCACGUGCGAGGGUCUGGGUGGCUACUGCUCUGAUGCAACAAGGACUCUGUGCCGGUUUUUUGGCCCCGUAGGGUCAUGCGACGGGAACCUGAUGGUGUGCUGCCUGAACCACCCAAUUGACGUCGUCGGGCCCCUUGGAAAGUGAAGACCGUGACACGUUUCCCCUAGCAACGUUACAACGCAAAGGCUGAUUCUGUGUGAACAUCAGUGUUUCUCGAAAAUAUAUGUACCAGGGGUAUUAAACUAAGUGCCUGUUUGAAAACAGGGCAAUAUUAA